GCUUGGAGAACUCCCUCGUUAUAGAAACCAGGAGAGGAAAAAAGAUCCUGAAUGCCAAUAAAGGCUAGCCAGUUUAAGCAGCAGAUUCCAGGGCUCCCCAUGGUGUGUGCUUGCCCUGGCUGUGAGUAGUAAACUCAACCUAUACAGUGUGUUCCUGGUGGCCUCCAGCUGGAGAGCAUUACCACAGAGCUCCCACAGAAAGCUCCAUGACUCAACACAAUUCCUGUUGCAUUUCUGCACACAGCUGCCCACCGCAGGCACUGUUGAAACUCCAAGAUGUGCAGUGGAAGGACUGGCUAAGAAAACCCGACCCUGAUGGAAACGCCUUCCAAUGAGUAGAACUGAUUCACAUUGGAUCACUGGACUUUGGGUUGGGAUGUCCAAAAGAAGGACUGAUUUCAAAGUAAAAUAAAUGUUCCAAGACUAGGUCACAAAGAAAAGCUUCUCAGCCUUGAAGAAGACAAGGCAUAGGCCCGCGUCCCAGGCUCUGAGAGAGAAACGUCUCAUUUCCUUUGCUUGCAAGUCUGUGUGCCAUCUCUCAACUUCUGCCCUUGGGUUAUCUGUCUGUGUAUUUUCUUCACCCUUCUAGAUUGCCAGCUCCCUGAAUGGAGAUCACAUUGUUGCCUUUGCAUUCACCACAAUGUUAGUCCAGUGCCUGCCACUAACCAGGUCUUCCCUGCUUAUUAAUUGACCAACAGACUUUGUAUUGAAAACACACUGAAAAAGCAUUUCAAAAAUAGUUGACUUUCUCUGACGGGAGUUUUGCUAACUGGGAAGGUGAUGUAGGGUAACUUCUCAGCAGGGUGUAAAUUUUGAGUGCUAGGGAAAGAGCAGCAUGAUUGGAAGAGAGGCACAUUUCACUAGGAUACACUCUGUUAUCUUUGUUUUACAUUUAAAUGGGUCUACAUGAAAUUUGGAUGACACAUUAAGGGUAAUUUCCCCAGCGUGAUUUGGAUUGCUGAUUAGAGAAUCAAGGCCUCCUGGAGUAUUCUGUUUGUGUUACUGAUUGGUUAAGGGCUGUUUCCCAAGUGUGGGGUGAGUUCCGUUUUCCCCUGGAGAAUUAAAGAGCAGCACCCUUCAGGCACAGCCAAAGUGAACUCUCUUCAAAAAGUCUAAGCCUGGCCAGGCGUGGUGGCUCAUGCCUGUAAUCUCAGCAUGUUGGGAGUCCGAGGCAGGCAGACCACCUGAGGUUAGGAGUUCGAGACCAGCCUGGCUAACAUGGUGAAACCCCAUCUGUACUGAAAAUACAAAAAUUAGCCAGGUGUGGUGGCGGGUGCCUGUAAUCCCAGCUACUCGGGAGGUUGAGGCAGGAGAAUCACUUGAACCUGGGAAGCAGAGGUUGCAGUGAGCCAAGAUUGCACCACUGCACUCCAGCCCGGGCGACACAGUGAGACUCAGUCUCAAAAAACAACAAAAAAGCCUCUGAGCUGAAGCCCUUUUCUCUUUCUAAUUAUGCAGGAAGCAAAGAAAUGUUACUAUGUGGUGAAGAAUUAACCUUCUUCAAAAUAAGCCCGCCUUUUGUCCUUGGCUUCUGGAACGUAAUCUCUACUGUCUUUCUUAGCCCGAGGGAUGGGGGUCACAGUGGAUUGUCAGUGCAAUUUAAGGUGGGGACUGGCCACUCCCAUGUAGCCAUAGGGUUGGAGCUGAAAGACCAACAAUGUGACUUUGGGUGGAGGCUUUGGGUCACCCAGUAUCGGUGGCCUGGAGACUAAGAUCAACCAUGUGGCCAGUCAAUCAUUUAUGCCCACGAAAUGGAGCUCCAACAAAAACUGAACCCUGAGGCUUAGGUGAGCUCUCUUGGUUGGUGAUUCUCUCUUGGUUGCUGUAUUGUCACACAUGGAUGCCACCGUGUAUCCUUACUUUGUGGGGAAAAGACAACAGGAGCUCUGCAUUUGGAACCCUUCUGGACUCUGCCCUAUGUGUCUCUUUUUGGCUAAGCUUAACCUGUAACCUUUCCUUAUAAUAAACCAUAAAUGUGACUAU
rnacentral:lncRNA from 10 species